CAUGAACACUCCUGGCUCAUAUGUUUUCCACUGCCUCCCAGGCUGGGUGCCCAAACCUGGAUUUCCACAUAAACAAAGGACUCCCCAGUGUGAAGAGAUCUCCUUCCCCACCUGGACCCUUCCCCCCAGAAUCAAGAGCCAGAGUCUCUCCCACUUCUGUGAAAAAGUCCAGGAUCCGGGCAG